UACGUAGGGGCCUAGCGUUGUCCGGAUUUAUUGGGCGUAAAGAGCUCGUAGGCGGUUCGGUAGGUCCGUUGUGAAAACUCGAGGCUCAACCUCGAGACGCCGAUGGAAACCAUCUAACUAGAGUCCGGAAGAGGAGAGUGGAAUUCCUGGUGUAGCGGUGAAAUGCGCAGAUAUCAGGAAGAACACCCGUGGCUAAGGCGGCUCUCUAGUACGGUACUGACGCUGAGACGCGAAAGCGUGGGGAGCGAACAGG
rnacentral:rRNA from 1 species